rnacentral:rRNA from 1 species
UCGAACGGGCUGGGGUAGCAAUACUCCAGUUAGUGGCGCACGGGUGCGUAACGCGUAUGCAACCUACCUUUUAUUGGGGGAUAGCCCGAAGAAAUUCGGAUUAAUACCGCAUAAUAUCAUUUGAGGGCAUCUGAGGAUGAUUAAAGCUACGGCGAUAAAAGAUGGGCAUGCGUGUCAUUAGCUAGUUGGUUGAGGUAACGGCUCACCAAGGCGACGAUGACUAGGGGUUCUGAGAGGAUGAUCCCCCACACUGGUACUGAGAUACGGACCAGACUCCUACGGGAGGCAGCAGUAGGGAAUAUUGGGCAAUGGCGGAAACGCUGACCCAGCCAUGCCGCGUGCAGGAUGAAGGCCUUCUGGGUUGUAAACUGCUUUUACCAGGGAAGAAAAUACCUUUGCGAAGGGAACUGACGGUACCUGGUGAAUAAGCACCGGCUAACUCCGUGCCAGCAGCCGCGGUAAUACGGAGGGUGCAAGCGUUG